rnacentral:ncRNA from 1 species
GAACUUUGAAAGAGAGUUAAAGAGUACCUGAAACUGUUGAAAGGGAACCGUAUCGUUUCCAGUGUUGUAUCCUAUGCAUAUUUCAUUCGUGGAGUAAUUUACGGGUGCCCUGUGCAUGGGUGUGACGUCAGGGUCAGUUUGUAUGCUGCGGGAGAUGGUCAGUGAGGAGGUGCGUCACUUCGGUGAAAGUUAUAUCUCGCUGUCUAGUAGCCGUGGUUGAGACUGAGGUGCCUACAACAUGCCUUAAGGUUCUAUGUUGUCUCGUGUUGGUGACUGCUUUGAUAGCUUGCUAUGUCUGUGGUUUAUUAAUGCGAUUGAUGAUGUGGAUAACUUUUGCUGUUCGGGACUCUGGCGAAAUGGAGCGAUACGACCCGUCUUGAAACACGG